CCUACGGGUGGCAGCAGUGGGGAAUAUUGCGCAAUGGGGGAAACCCUGACGCAGCAACGCCGCGUGAGUGAAGACGUAUCUCGGCAUGUAAAGCCCUAUCGGCAGGGAAGAAGCAAGACGGUACCUGACUAAGAAGCCCCGGCUAACUACGUGCCAGCAGCCGCGGUAAUACGGAGGGGGCGAGCGUUAUCCGGAUUCACUGGGUGUAAAGGGAGCGUAGACGGCCAUGCAAGCCAGGGGUGAAAGCCCGGGGCCCAACCCCGGGACUGCCCUGGGAACUGCAUGGCUGGAGUGCGGGAGGGGCAGGCGGAAUUCCUGGUGUAGCGGUGAAAUGCGUAGAUAUCAGGAGGAACACCGGCGGCGAAGGCGGCCUGCUGGACUGCGACUGACGUUGAGGCUCGAAAGCGUGGGGAGCGAACAGGAUUAGAUACCCCUGUAGUC
rnacentral:rRNA from 1 species